rnacentral:rRNA from 1 species
GACGAACGCUGGCGGCGUGCUUAACACAUGCAAGUCGAGCGGUAAGGCCUCUUCGGGGGUACACGAGCGGCGAACGGGUGAGUAACACGUGGGUGACCUGCCCUCAGCUCUGGGAUAAGCCUGGGAAACUGGGUCUAAUACCGGAUAGGACCGUCUGCCGCAUGGUGGGUGGUGGAAAGUUUUUUCGGCUGGGGAUGGGCCCGCGGCCUAUCAGCUUGUUGGUGGGGUGAUGGCCUACCAAGGCGACGACGGGUAGCCGGCCUGAGAGGGCGACCGG